rnacentral:rRNA from 1 species
GACAGAGGGUGCAAGCGUUGUUCGGAAUCAUUGGGCGUAAAGCGCACGUAGGCGGCUUGGCAAGUCGGAUGUGAAAUCCCUGGGCUCAACCGAGGAAGUGCAUCCGAAACUGCUUUGCUUGAGUGCCGGAGAGGGUGGUGGAAUUCCCAGUGUAGAGGUGAAAUUCGUAGAUAUUGGGAGGAACACCCGUGGCGAAGGCGACCACCUGGACGGACACUGACGCUGAGGUGCGAAAGCGUGGGGAG